ACUAGAAAGUGAACAUAGAAUGUGAGCAGCUUCUAAACACAGAACAUACCGGAUGCUAUGGUUGAACUGCAAGAGAGCAGUUUCAAUGACACGUGCAAACACUGCAAGUGAAAGGAUCCCAGUCCAAUGUGAAGACAAUGAUAAAGUUCAUACAUUUGAUAAGAUUUCAGUUGAGUGUCAAGAUGACCAAUUUGGGAUCAACGCUAAAGUGUUUUUUGAUGAUAAAACCUUCCCAUUAAGGAGGUGCACUCCAUUUGUGACUAGGUCUACAUAUCAUAGCAGCUGGUCAAACGCAGGAUUAAUUUGCUGUGGACAAUUUCAGUGCAACUGCUGGUGUCUCCACAAACACAGAUGUCUCGGGUGCUGACAAAAGUUGAAUUUUCACAAAUGGUGUCUUGCUGGGACUCAUGGCACCUGGUGGCAGGGGAAAGACCUGCUGAGCUGAUGGCUUGAGAAGGACAUUAUGAAAAAGAGAUGCAUGUGCAUCCAAAAGGACAGAAGAAAUAAGCUGGGGGGGCCGGGGGCAUAUAUGUACUGUAUUAUCAUAAACUAAACUAUAUAACUUUUUGUACUGUCUAAAAACCCUUAGCAUUAAAGUAAUCAUACCCAUCUUAGAGUACAAGAACUGAUGCUUUGAUAAAUCUGAAUCAACAAAAUACAUUUAAAAAAUGGUCAUCCAUAAUUGUACAUCUACAAAAGUUUUAAUUUUCAUUGUUAAUAAUAACACAACACAGACUGUUUCUUUAAUUAUCAUGUUCUCAUUACACUUCCAUAUUCCACGCAAUGAUAGGAAAAACAUUAAUAACAUUUGUCCACAUCGAACCCUUCUGUACCGUCAUCAUGCUCAUGUUAUCUAAAUAAAAAUUAUG